AUCGCUUCUCGGCCUGUUGGCUAAGAUCAAGUGUAGUAUCUGUUCUUAUCAGUUUAAUAUCUGAUAUGUCCCCCAGCGGGGGACUACAUAUUAAGCAGGUUUUUAGAACAGGGAGUUGGCAAAGGAGCUUGCUCCAUCCGCUCCACCCAUCGACCCAGUAGAGCGGUGCACUUUCU
ensembl:snRNA U2 U2 spliceosomal RNA